CCAUGGCUUUGCUCUUCAUCCUCUGGUUCCUUUCUACUCGGAUCUGUGUUGGCCUUUUGGAUGUUUGUUCCUGCAAAAUCAAACACAUCUCCUCGCUCUAAAUUUAUGCACAAAGGAUAUGAUCUCUCAAAGAAAAAAUAUCAGCUUUACCAUUUAUGCUCCCACGGUUUAAGAGCUGCAUAAGAUGGUCCUUGAAGCUUAACAAGAUCUGCUUUUCUUGUUCUGCGUUCUUCAUCACACAUCAAUGCGCGUGUUGCUGGAGACAUAGGUUUCUCGUCCAUUCUACCAGCGUCAAGGACACAAUCUGGAGAGUCAUUCAUCACAUUAGCAUCUCUCUCAGCUGAAUCAAGUGAAGAGUCUUUUUCUCGGCUUUCUUCUUUUUGUCUGUACCUGACAUUUUAUUUGCUACCUCCACCGAUUUUGAGACCAAAAGUGAGCAUAGCUCUUUGGCA